rnacentral:rRNA from 1 species
GGUCGAAAGAGGAAAUUCAUUCGCGUUUCGGCUUACGAAGUUGAGCGUUUGCAUGACGGAUGACGUUUCGGCGCCGUCUGCAUCUUACGUUCUUCGAAUCGUUGUCGAACGCGUGCACUUUUCCUCUAGUAGGACGUCGCGAUCCGUUGGGUGUCUGUCUAAGGCUCGAGGUGGAGACCACGUGAUUUUUUGAUCGCGUGGACCCUUGAUGUCCCGACAGACUCGCUCGACGGUAUACUAAUGGCGCGGGGCCGCUACUUAAGUUAGCGUUCGACCCGUAACAAGCGCGUUCUGUGUUUGACGGUCAUCGGAUCUGAUGCCGAUUCUGUCCCGGAACGACUGUUGGUUGCGGUAUUCUCGAACAGACCUCG